UACGAAGGGGGCUAGCGUUGCUCGGAAUGACUGGGCGUAAAGGGCGCGUAGGCGGAUUGUACAGUCAGGUGUGAAAUUCCCGGGCUCAACCUGGGGGCUGCGCUUGAGACGUGCGAUCUUGAGUGGGGAAGAGGGUCGUGGAAUUCCCAGUGUAGAGGUGAAAUUCGUAGAUAUUGGGAAGAACACCGGUGGCGAAGGCGGCGACCUGGUCCUUGACUGACGCUGAGGCGCGAAAGCGUGGGGAGCAAACAGG
rnacentral:rRNA from 1 species